GACGAACGCUGGCGGCGUGCUUAACACAUGCAAGUCGAGCGGGAAACUUCGGUUUCCAGCGGCGGACGGGUGAGUAACACGUGGGCAACCUGCCUCACAAUGAGGGAUAGCCCUCCGAAAGGAGGAUUAAUACCUCAUAACACAAGAGAAACGCAUGUUUCUCUUGCCAAAGAAUUUCGUUGUGAGAUGGGCCCGCGGCGCAUUAGCUUGUUGGUGAGGUAACGGCGCACCAAGGCUUCGAUGCGUAGCCGACCUGAGAGGGUGAUCGGCCACAUUGGAACUGAGACACGGUCCAGACUCCUACGGGAGGCAGCAGUGGGGAAUAUUGCACAAUGGAGGAAACUCUGAUGCAGCAACGCCGCGUGAGUGAUGAAGGUCUUCGGAUUGUAAAGCUCUGUCUUCUGGGACGAUAAUGACGGUACCAGAGGAGGAAGCCACGGCUAAUUACGUGCCAGCAGCCGCGGUAA
rnacentral:rRNA from 1 species